rnacentral:rRNA from 1 species
GACGAACGCUGGCGGCGUGCUUAACACAUGCAAGUCGAACGAUGAAGCCAGCUUGCUGGUGGAUUAGUGGCGAACGGGUGAGUAACACGUGGGUGAUCUGCCCCAAACUUUGGGAUAAGCCUGGGAAACUGGGUUUAAUACCGAAUAUGACCGAUAAUCGCAUGGGUGAUGGUGGUAAGCUCCGGCGGUUUGGGAUGGGCCCGCGGCCUAUCAGCUGGUUGGUGGGGUAAUGGCCUACCAAGGCGACGACGGGUAGCCGGCCUGAGAGGGCGACCGGCCACACUGGGACUGAGACACGGCCCAGACUCCUACGGGAGGCAGCAGUGGGGAAUAUUGCACAAUGGGCGCAAGCCUGAUGCAGCGACGCCGCGUGAGGGAUGACGGCCUUCGGGUUGUAAACCUCUUUCACCAGGGACGAAGCGAAAGUGACGGUACCUGGAGAAGAAGCACCGGCCAACUACGUG